rnacentral:rRNA from 1 species
GGAUCCAGAUCAAGCUUGCUUUGGUUUGGUGAGAGUGGCGCACGGGUGCGUAACGCGUGAGCAACCUACCCUUGUCAGGGGGAUAGCCCGGCGAAAGUCGGAUUAAUACCGCAUGACAUCAUUGAGAGGCAUCUUUCUAUGAUCAAAGAUUUAUCGGACAAGGAUGGGCUCGCGUGACAUUAGCUAGUUGGUAAGGUAACGGCUUACCAAGGCUACGAUGUCUAGGGGCUCUGAGAGGAGAAUCCCCCACACUGGUACUGAGACGCGGACCAGACUCCUACGGGAGGCAGCAGUAAGGAAUAUUGGUCAAUGGACGGAAGUCUGAACCAGCCAUGCCGCGUGCAGGAGGACGGCCCUAUGGGUUGUAAACUGCUUUUAUACGGGAACAAACGUCGGUACGUGUACCGGUCUGAGUGUACCGUAAGAAUAAGGAUCGGCUAACUCCGUGCCAGCAGCCGCGGUAAUACGGAGGAUCCGAGCGUUAUCCGGAAUUAUUGGGUUUAAAGGGUGCGUAGGCGGCCAGAUAAGUCAGGGGUGAAAGUCGGCAGCUCAACUGUCGCAGUGCCUUUGAUACUGUUUGGCUUGAAUUCGGUUGAAGAUGGCGGAAUGAGACAAGUAGCGGUGAAUGCAUAGAUAUGUCUCAGAA